rnacentral:rRNA from 1 species
GACGAACGCUGGCGGCGUGCUUAACACAUGCAAGUCGAACGGAAAGGCCCUGCUUUUGUGGGGUGCUCGAGUGGCGAACGGGUGAGUAACACGUGAGUAACCUGUCCCUGACUUUGGGAUAACUUCAGGAAACUGGGGCUAAUACCGGAUAGGAGCUCUUGCUGCAUGGUGGGGGCUGGAAAGUUUCGGCGGUUGGGGAUGGACUCGCGGCCUAUGGGCUUGUUGGUGGGGUAGUGGCUUACGAAGGCCUUGACGGGUAGCCGGCCUGGGAGGGUGACCGGCCACAUUGGGCCUGGGCUACGGCCCAGACUCCUACGGGAGGCAACAGUGGAGAAUAUUGCACAGUGGGCGGAAGCCUGGUGCAACAACGCCGCGUGCGGGAUGACGGCCUUCGGGUUGUAAACCGCUUUCGCCUGUGACGAGGCGUGAGUGACGGUAAUGGGUAAAGAAGCACCGGCUAACUACGUG